AAGUCGUAACAAGGUUUCCGUAGGUGAACCUGCGGAAGGAUCAUUAACGAAUUACGAACGCGUCUCUCGGUUGAGCUGGCCUUUACCGGCAUGUGCUUGCCUUGGACGUGCUUUUUUCCCAAAUUCAACACCUGUGCACCUUUGUAGUUUUUUCCACUUCUUGAUUCGAGACCCUUCAGAGCCGCCUAGCGACUUCGUCGUGGAAAAGGGAGAUAGAAGGGGGGAAAGACUAUGUAUUUUCUACACCCCCAAAACCAAUACAGACCAUAGAAUGUAAACAAGUCGACUUGUAGGCCGAGGCGUAAACAACCUCGUCUGCUUGGCGCGAAACAAAAACUAUAUACAA
rnacentral:misc_RNA from 1 species